rnacentral:rRNA from 1 species
CGAGCGGCGGACGGGUGAGUAAUGUCUGGGAAACUGCCUGAUGGAGGGGGAUAACUACUGGAAACGGUAGCUAAUACCGCAUAACGUCGCAAGACCAAAGAGGGGGACCUUCGGGCCUCUUGCCAUCAGAUGUGCCCAGAUGGGAUUAGCUAGUAGGUGGGGUAACGGCUCACCUAGGCGACGAUCCCUAGCUGGUCUGAGAGGAUGACCAGCCACACUGGAACUGAGACACGGUCCAGACUCCUACGGGAGGCAGCAGUGGGGAAUAUUGCACAAUGGGCGCAAGCCUGAUGCAGCCAUGCCGCGUGUAUGAAGAAGGCCUUCGGGUUGUAAAGUACUUUCAGCGGGGAGGAAGGUGUUGUGGUUAAUAACCWCAGCAAUUGACGUUACCCGCAGAAGAAGCACCGGCUAACUCCGUGCCAGCAGCCGCGGUAAUACGGAGGGUGCAAGCGUUAAUCGGAAUUACUGGGCGUAAAGCGCACGCAGGCGGUCUGUCAAGUCGGAUGUGAAAUCCCCGGGCUCAACCUGGGAACUGCAUUCGAAACUGGCAGGCUAGAGUCUUGUAGAGGGGGGUAGAAUUCCAGGUGUAGCGGUGAAAUGCGUAGAGAUCUGGAGGAAUACCGGUGGCGAAGGCGGCCCCCUGGACAAAGACUGACGCUCAGGUGCGAAAGCGUGGGGAGCAAACAGGAUUAGAUACCCUGGUAGUCCACGCCGUAAACGAUGUCGACUUGGAGGUUGUGCCCUUGAGGCGUGGCUUCCGGAGCUAACGCGUUAAGUCGACCGCCUGGGGAGUACGGCCGCAAGGUUAAAACUCAAAUGAAUUGACGGGGGCCCGCACAAGCGGUGGAGCAUGUGGUUUAAUUCGAUGCAACGCGAAGAACCUUACCUACUCUUGACAUCCAGAGAACUUUCCAGAGAUGGAUUGGUGCCUUCGGGAACUCUGAGACAGGUGCUGCAUGGCUGUCGUCAGCUCGUGUUGUGAAAUGUUGGGUUAAGUCCCGCAACGAGCGCAACCCUUAUCCUUUGUUGCCAGCGGUCCGGCCGGGAACUCAAAGGAGACUGCCAGUGAUAAACUGGAGGAAGGUGGGGAUGACGUCCAGUUMUUCWUGSCCCUUACGAGUAGGGCUACACACGUGCUACAAUGGCGCAUACAAAGAGAAGCGACCUCGCGAGAGCAAGCGGACCUCAUAAAGUGCGUCGUAGUCCGGAUUGGAGUCUGCAACUCGACUCCAUGAAGUCGGAAUCGCUAGUAAUCGUAGAUCAGAAUGCUACGGUGAAUACGUUCCCGGGCCUUGUA